UGGGGAAUUUUGGACAAUGGGCGAAAGCCUGAUCCAGCAAUGCCGCGUGUGUGAAGAAGGCCUUCGGGUUGUAAAGCACUUUUGUCCGGAAAGAAAUCCUUGGCUCUAAUACAGUCGGGGGAUGACGGUACCGGAAGAAUAAGCACCGGCUAACUACGUGCCAGCAGCCGCGGUAAUACGUAGGGUGCAAGCGUUAAUCGGAAUUACUGGGCGUAAAGCGUGCGCGGGCGGUUUGCUAAGACUGAUGUGAAAUCCCCGGGCUCAACCUGGGAACUGCAUUGGUGACUGGCAGGCUAGAGUAUGGCAGAGGGGGGUAGAAUUCCACGUGUAGCAGUGAAAUGCGUAGAGAUGUGGAGGAAUACCGAUGGCGAAGGCAGCCCCCUGGGCCAAUACUGACGCUCAUGCACGAAAGCGUGGGGAGCAAACAGGAUUAGAUACCCCUGGUAGUCCACGCCCUAAACGAUGUCAACUAGUUGUUGGGGAUUCAUUUCCUUAGUAACGUAGCUAACGCGUGAAGUUGACCGCCUGGGGAGUACGGUCGCAAGAUUAAAACUUAAAUGAAUUGACGGGGUCAUAGCUGUUUCCU
rnacentral:rRNA from 1 species